AUUUUGAUGGCUGAUAAUAAGCGGUAGAUUGUAAAUCUACAUAUGGUUGUUCAACCUCAUUGU
rnacentral:tRNA from 1 species